ACAGUGUGCUUUCACCCCCGUGAACGCUGCUACUUCCGCCGAAGCAUACCGGUGCUGUCAGCCGUGUCCUCGCGAGUGCAUUUCGCUAAACGGCCCUCUGGAAGGGGCACCAGUGAAAGGAUCGCCUGGCGGAAAGUCGGUACCUGUUCGAUAGGCGCAAGACGAAUUGUUUCGACUCUUUGCACACGAUCUCUGUUGAAGGAAAAGCCAUUCCUCAUGGACAGCCUUCUCAAGAGUUCCAUGAAGGUUUGAGAGCCCACUUUCGGUACACGAUUGAAGAACAGGACGCUCCGGUCCGCUCUUUUUGUGUUGUUGAGUGCGUCAAUGUCCAACACUUCAGUUUCUUUGUACUGAAACCAGGUGAAGAAAAAUUCUCGCAUCUCGUCCGGCGCAAAAAUGACUUAAUUAAGAGAUUCGUUGCGUUAGAACUCGUUGAAUCCAACCAACGAUCCUUCCGCGAAAAGAUUAAUGAAGCGAACCGACCGGUAAACCGAUGUUCCGAGGUCGAGGUAUCGGUAAGUGGUGCAUUUCUUUCGAAUUACAGUGAAUUAUCGCGUGUUCGAUACUUGUUACUAAAGUGUCCGACGUGCAACGAUGCGACACUCGUUGCGACAGUGGUGGAACUUCUUCAGGGAAGCUGUUCGAACAUUUACAAGAUUCCAUGAUAAUGGCGAUGCCAUAAAAGGUACGAAGGGUUCGUCCGACCAAACUCCUGGGAAAAACUGUAAAGCGACUUUUACGAGCACCGAGUACUGUGAAAAACGACAGAUUCUAGCAGUUUCGUAGAACGGUUCGAACAACACCUUGAAAAUGGCCACGAUUCCAUAGAGCUUGCUUUUACGAGGUGCAUCCGAGCUAUCCUCGUUGUAUUAUUCAAUAAAUUUAUGUCUGACUCGCGUAUUAACUUUGUAAAUUGCUGUUGUGUUUGUUGCGCUAAUAUGUUUGCUGUAUUAUGUCGAACACAUAUAUGUGUAGGAUGUUGAAAAAGAAGUUCAAAGCUUAUACGAGCGUAUAGUAUAAAGUAAAGGCAUAGUAAAAUAUUUUAUGGGACUAAUGAAAGGUAUUAAUAAUAAAAUGGAAUAAAAAUAGUAGCAAGUAAAAUGACGAAACAAUUUGAGCAUAAAAAGACUCUAAGAUUUAAGUUCACCGAGAAUAAUAAGAAGUUUUCAAUCAAUAUGAUUUCUAGAAUUAAUAGAUUUGGUAUUUAUAUCAUAUUACAUUGGAUUUUAACGUGGAAAUUCUUCCAAGCGGACAAGUAAUAUUACUCGAUGCUCUGCCGCUCGAAAGUAUCCGCACAUUUGCUGAUGUUUGACAAGACAAACUACUUCGGUUCUUCAUAAUGUGGGAUGGUGUGACGUUAGCGAAAGGCGUGGCUGAUUGUUUAUAAACGUUGUUAAGAUAUGUUAAUGUUGUCAAGGAGUGUUGUGAGAGUUACCAAGGUUUGUUAAAGGAAAAGUGAGCGUGGUAAUGCUGUCAGAGUUGAAUUAAUCGUGGUCGAGAGAAGUUCAUCGUGUUGCUGUGACAUAGAAAUAGUGUUAAGCGAAUUCGUGAAGUGCGAUAUUAUAUUCAAUUUUGUGAGAGUGUUACAAUAUUGUGUUUAUCAUACUGUCUUUUCUGUUAAUUUAUAAUAAACAUUCCUACAAUAAUUACUAUAAUCCUGCAGUAGUAUAUUAAAACAUUUGCAACAUGAUUAAAUCGAUUUUCGAAAGUCAACGUGUAAUGACAAAACGUUAAAAUUCCCACAUCUUAUAAAGCUAAUUUGUUACUUGACAAAUUCUGCAUCUCCAGAUUCUUUAAUUUUUCAAUUAUAAGGCAGAUUAAAAAGAAUCUUCUAAAUAGAUAGAAACAUCUUAAGAUCGAAAUCGAUCAGUGAUUAUUUCGAUCUUUGUUCGUUGCAUGUCGUACCGCGGUCAACUCGAUUCGCAGCGAGCGUGUAACGUGUAAUAUCCAUGUAACAGUAUCCGAAGCUGAUGAUCGUCGUCGUUUAGAAGAAAAAACGAGCGUAUAUAUUUCAUGGACGAUGAAUUUAAGUAAUUGAACAGGUUGUGCGUGUAGCUACGAGCCGAGCGCAGAAACGAGGACGACGUGUGUGCAUUAAGAAAUAUCGUAGUCGCAAUGAAAUAACAGUGCUAACAACGUGAAAAUAUUUAGGUCUAUGAUGUGAUUUAAAUGUGAUAUAAUAUGUGCAUCAACAUGAGCGAGUUUAUUUCUUUAUUAGAAAUAUGUAGUGUGCUAAAUAAGACAUUUAGAAAGACUGGAAAUAUUUUCAUCUUUCAUCGUCUUUGUCAUUUUAUUUGCUUGUUUGUCCGUUAUUUUAUACUUUCAAUGAUUAGGAUUUAAAGAGAUUGUGAACUGUCUCUUAGAAUAUUUACUCGAAAGUCUGGAAAAUUAUAUAAGGACGUUAUAUUUACUUUGAAAUUGAAAACAUCUAAGCACUGCAAAGUUAAAAAAUACAACGAAUAAAACGUGAAUAUUUGUACAAAUACACGUUUAUAUAAAUUCGGGGAUAUUAAGCAACUCGUUAGGAAGAUUAAAGUUAAACACAAAUUUCCUUUUACUUUGCUUUACUUUGAAUAUGUUGCACGGUUCUUUAUAUUAUACAGAAUCCACAUAUUCUUGGAUUUUUAAAUUUCAAUUAUACAUCCACGGUUCAACGGUAAACUAUUACUUAACUUGAUUAACAGUUUUAUUAAAAAAUUCUAUGUAAUCUAAAUUGCAUAAUCCACUCUAUCAAAUACCGAGGUUUUAUAAAAAACUACAAGAUAUCCGAGAUCUUUCGAAUGGAAAUCCAAUACAAUUUUUCCUUUUCCAUACCACUUCUUAGUAGCAGAUAAAAUCACAAUGAAACGUUCAUAAACGCCGUUCAGAAUUCACGUUAUCUAUCGUUGUUUCACAUCCAUCUAUUAAAUCUUCCCAACAAAAUUUAUUCUUCCUUCUUCCGAUCCACGAUAGAUACACAGCACUUCCUGGGCAAGUUCUCGCCAUUGCUCGGCUUACUUCCUCUUCGAGUAAUCCCAUCUGGAGGUCAGAGAAACGUGGCAAGCAGGACACCAUAAAUCGAGAGGGGGAUUGGAACGAGUAGCCUGGACGGAAGCGCAAGGAUGAAAACGAUACGAACCGUUCUGUGGUUCCCGGGGAAGCCGUAUCGGAAUUAAUGGCCGAUCGGCCUCGUUUCACGAUAUGUUCACGCAAAUGGCCGGAAACGAACGAAACCGGGCUCGACCGCCAGGCAACACAUCACUACUUCGUUUUCAGUCGAGUCAGCCGGUGUUUCGUGUCGAAGAAACGCGCCUUUGGAUCUUCCUGGCCACGAUCUGCCCUCUGGGCUAUCACGAGUUGCGUUUCUUUUAGUCGACCUUUGUCGUUGCCACGUACCGCGAGAGAAUCGUGUUGCUUUAAUGGCAGGAGCCGCUUUGACGAAGCUGGCGGCGAUCUGCUUCCAAUUGCCGGCGUUACGCGAACGUUCACCCUUUGCAGAGACGUGCACGGGGUGGUUCUUGACCCUUUACGAUCGCAACUUGUUCUGCCAAGUAUGGAUCGUUUGAUAGUAAUUAAUUUUCAUUGCUUUCCGGACUGUAUAUACAGGGUGAAUCAAUGAGAAUCGCCACUCGAUUUUAUCAGAUGAUAAAUUAAGAAAUUCAAAUUAAAGUUAUUAAAAUAAAAAGGAAGAUUUCUUUUGUUAGAAAUUUUUGAAACAAGAUUUAUCGUGUUCCAGUGGCCUGGUCGGAUGAAUAUAACUUGAUUUUUUCAUGUUUUAUAUUUUUCGAGAAAUUAAGGCGAACUUGAGUUUUUUUUAAGACACCAUAUAUUUUUGAUAAUAAUUUAUCCAAGCUGGACAUUUUUCACGAAAUAGUAUCAAACUACUCGUAUCGAAAACACGUUAGUUUAGCACAUAUUCUAACUUUAAUUAUUCAUUAUUAAAUACUCAGGUCACAUGAUCGCCUGUCAAACUUGAAUUCAGAAUUGAACGAGAUUUAAAUCGCCAAUUUUACGUUAUACGCUUCCUUCAAAUGUAACAAGGUAACAAAUUUCUGCGUCUCGUCACGUUUUUCAUAACUCGAUAAAUCAAAAUCAAUGGACACUAACACUGGCAGCUAACGAGAAUUAAGCUCAUCAUAAUCGAAGUACACGAUAAAAACGAACGUAAAGUUAGCAGAACGUUUACACGAGAGAACUAUGUACACAUGCAUUCUCGUAAAAUUAUCGCUUGAUAGAUUUCCGCGCGAUUAACCGGCACAAUGAAAGUGUAAAGAAAAUAAUUUCCAGCGGUUUAAUCACAGCGUAACAAGUUAAAAAAACCGUGACUCGUACGUUCGAAUGGCUCUUACGAAACAUAUCGUUAUUAACUUUUUGCGGUAUACACGAUAAUAAAGUGAUAAACGUUUCAUUAUAGCCGAUCUUCCCGUGCAACGAUCGUCCUGUAAUUCUAAUCGCCGGUCAGAAGCUUAGAUCGUUCGGAAGCCACGUCGCGAAUCGAGCUUCUUCCUCAAUUAACGAAUCAAACUCAUUUCCAUAAUAACAACCGCAUCUGGGCAACUUUGUAUCAUUCGCUUCCCGGUGUACAUCGGAACAGAUAGGAUCUGGUGCGCAUUAAUAGCGAUUAUCAGAUUUCUCCUCUGGCAAAGAAUGGAAACUCUAUCGGUGUUUCUCGAUGCGAUCUACGAUUCGAUACGCUUUUCCUCGAACGAUGACUGAGAAUGAGAAUCGUACGAGAACAGGUGUUUGAAGAUGCAGGUUAUCGAUAAUAGAUUUUUAGUUCAGAGUAUCGGUUUGACGAAUGAGGCGAAUUAAUAUUUUAGUUUCGAGGUAUUAACCCUUUGCGCUCCUAUGUCGAGUGUGACUCGACAUCAGUUUUUAUCUCAGGAGCUCCUUUUUUUGUGUAAAGUGCGGGUUGCAUCCUGGAAAUUGUUUCAAGAUAUAUCAUACAGUUAAAAAUUAGAAAAUACAACAAUAGUGUGAAUAAAACUGGUAUUUAAGUGAAUUUGUUUCUUCCUUUAUUUAUUUAAAUUGUCUUAUUCUUUAGUUAAAGUAAAUUUCAAAUAAAACACUUAACAAUGUUGACAGCUGCUGGCAACGAAAUUGAAAUAAAAUUCAGAGUGCAAAGGAUUAAUAUUAUAGUUUCUUUGUAUUCUUAUGUGAUCAGUUCUUAAUGGAAGUUAUAUUCUCUGUUAAUAGUAAUUAACGAGUUGUUUCGU